rnacentral:misc_RNA from 1 species
GUGAAUCAUCAAAUCUUUGAACGCAAAUUGCACUCUCCGGUUUUCCGAGAGAGUAUGCCUGUUUGGUGUUCUGCCUAAAAAAAAUCGACAUUGUUACUGCUGUAUGGUGACUUUCGUCGGAGAUGGGUUAUCUUAAUUCUCGGUUUAAGCGACUUAAAAAUUUUUUUUACGAUUCUAAGAAUGUUUCUAAGAUUUUUCUUGUACGUUUAAUGUAUCUAAUGUCUUAUUAGACGUGGCCGUCAUUUCGGAACGUGAUCAU